rnacentral:rRNA from 1 species
CUACGGGCGGCUGCAGUCGGGAAUAUUGCGCAAUGGAGGAAACUCUGACGCAGUGACGCCGCGUAUAGGAAGAAGGUUUUCGGAUUGUAAACUAUUGUCGUUAGGGAAGAUAAAAGACAGUACCUAAGGAGGAAGCUCCGGCUAACUACGUGCCAGCAGCCGCGGUAAUACGUAGGGAGCAAGCGUUAUCCGGAUUUAUUGGGUGUAAAGGGUGCGUAGACGGGAAGACAAGUUAGUUGUGAAAUCCCUCGGCUUAACUGAGGAACUGCAACUAAAACUAUUUUUCUUGAGUGUUGGAGAGGAAAGUGGAAUUCCUAGUGUAGCGGUGAAAUGCGUAGAUAUUAGGAGGAACACCGGUGGCGAAGGCGACUUUCUGGACAACAACUGACGUUGAGGCACGAAAGUGUGGGGAGCAAACAGGAUUAGAUACCCCCGUAGUC